rnacentral:rRNA from 1 species
UACAGAGGGUGCGAGCGUUGUUCGGAAUUAUUGGGCGUAAAGGGCGCGUAGGCGGUGCGGUAAGUCACCUGUGAAAUCUCCUGGCUCAACUGGGAGCUUGCAGGCGAAACUGCCGUGCUGGAGUGUGGGAGAGGUGAGUGGAAUUCCCGGUGUAGCGGUGAAAUGCGUAGAUAUCGAGAGGAACACCUGCGGCGAAGGCGGGUAGCUGGGCCGACACUGACGCUGAGGCGCGAAAGCCAGGGGAGCGAACGGG